rnacentral:tRNA from 1 species
CCCGAGUGGCCAAAGGGGACAGACUGUAAAUCUGCUGCAAAUUGCUUCGGUGGUUCGAAUCCACC